AGCGUACACGGUGGAUGCCCUGGCAGUCAGAGGCGAUGAAGGACGUGCUAAUCUGCGAUAAGCGUCGGUAAGGUGAUAUGAACCGUUAUAACCGGCGAUUUCCGAAUGGGGAAACCCAGUGUGAUUCGUCACACUAUCAUUAACUGAAUCCAUAGGUUAAUGAGGCGAACCGGGGGAACUGAAACAUCUAAGUACCCCGAGGAAAAGAAAUCAACCGAGAUUCCCCCAGUAGCGGCGAGCGAACGGGGAGCAGCCCAGAGCCUGAAUCAGUGUGUGUGUUAGUGGAAGCGUCUGGAAAGGCGUGCGAUACAGGGUGACAGCCCCGUACACAAAAAUGCACAUGCUGUGAGCUCGAUGAGUAGGGCGGGACACGUGGUAUCCUGUCUGAAUAUGGGGGGACCAUCCUCCAAGGCUAAAUACUCCUGACUGACCGAUAGUGAACCAGUACCGUGAGGGAAAGGCGAAAAGAACCCCGGCGAGGGGAGUGAAAAAGAACCUGAAACCGUGUACGUACAAGCAGUGGGAGCACAGAGCAAUCUGUGUGACUGCGUACCUUUUGUAUAAUGGGUCAGCGACUUAUAUUCUGUAGCAAGGUUAACCGAAUAGGGGAGCCGAAGGGAAACCGAGUCUUAACUGGGCGUUAAGUUGCAGGGUAUAGACCCGAAACCCGGUGAUCUAGCCAUGGGCAGGUUGAAGGUUGGGUAACACUAACUGGAGGACCGAACCGACUAAUGUUGAAAAAUUAGCGGAUGACUUGUGGCUGGGGGUGAAAGGCCAAUCAAACCGGGAGAUAGCUGGUUCUCCCCGAAAGCUAUUUAGGUAGCGCCUCGUGAAUUCAUCUCCGGGGGUAGAGCACUGUUUCGGCAAGGGGGUCAUCCCGACUUACCAACCCGAUGCAAACUGCGAAUACCGGAGAAUGUUAUCACGGGAGACACACGGCGGGUGCUAACGUCCGUCGUGAAGAGGGAAACAACCCAGACCGCCAGCUAAGGUCCCAAAGUCAUGGUUAAGUGGGAAACGAUGUGGGAAGGCCCAGACAGCCAGGAUGUUGGCUUAGAAGCAGCCAUCAUUUAAAGAAAGCGUAAUAGCUCACUGGUCGAGUCGGCCUGCGCGGAAGAUGUAACGGGGCUAAACCAUGCACCGAAGCUGCGGCAGCGACGCUUAUGCGUUGUUGGGUAGGGGAGCGUUCUGUAAGCCUGCGAAGGUGUGCUGUGAGGCAUGCUGGAGGUAUCAGAAGUGCGAAUGCUGACAUAAGUAACGAUAAAGCGGGUGAAAAGCCCGCUCGCCGGAAGACCAAGGGUUCCUGUCCAACGUUAAUCGGGGCAGGGUGAGUCGACCCCUAAGGCGAGGCCGAAAGGCGUAGUCGAUGGGAAACAGGUUAAUAUUCCUGUACUUGGUGUUACUGCGAAGGGGGGACGGAGAAGGCUAUGUUGGCCGGGCGACGGUUGUCCCGGUUUAAGCGUGUAGGCUGGUUUUCCAGGCAAAUCCGGAAAACUAAGGCUGAGGCGUGAUGACGAGGCACUACGGUGCUGAAGCAACAAAUGCCCUGCUUCCAGGAAAAGCCUCUAAGCAUCAGGUAACAUCAAAUCGUACCCCAAACCGACACAGGUGGUCAGGUAGAGAAUACCAAGGCGCUUGAGAGAACUCGGGUGAAGGAACUAGGCAAAAUGGUGCCGUAACUUCGGGAGAAGGCACGCUGAUAUGUAGGUGAAGUCCCUCGCGGAUGGAGCUGAAAUCAGUCGAAGAUACCAGCUGGCUGCAACUGUUUAUUAAAAACACAGCACUGUGCAAACACGAAAGUGGACGUAUACGGUGUGACGCCUGCCCGGUGCCGGAAGGUUAAUUGAUGGGGUUAGCGCAAGCGAAGCUCUUGAUCGAAGCCCCGGUAAACGGCGGCCGUAACUAUAACGGUCCUAAGGUAGCGAAAUUCCUUGUCGGGUAAGUUCCGACCUGCACGAAUGGCGUAAUGAUGGCCAGGCUGUCUCCACCCGAGACUCAGUGAAAUUGAACUCGCUGUGAAGAUGCAGUGUACCCGCGGCAAGACGGAAAGACCCCGUGAACCUUUACUAUAGCUUGACACUGAACAUUGAGCCUUGAUGUGUAGGAUAGGUGGGAGGCUUGGAAGUGUGGACGCCAGUCUGCAUGGAGCCGACCUUGAAAUACCACCCUUUAAUGUUUGAUGUUCUAACGUUGACCCGUAAUCCGGGUUGCGGACAGUGUCUGGUGGGUAGUUUGACUGGGGCGGUCUCCUCCUAAAGAGUAACGGAGGAGCACGAAGGUUGGCUAAUCCUGGUCGGACAUCAGGAGGUUAGUGCAAUGGCAUAAGCCAGCUUGACUGCGAGCGUGACGGCGCGAGCAGGUGCGAAAGCAGGUCAUAGUGAUCCGGUGGUUCUGAAUGGAAGGGCCAUCGCUCAACGGAUAAAAGGUACUCCGGGGAUAACAGGCUGAUACCGCCCAAGAGUUCAUAUCGACGGCGGUGUUUGGCACCUCGAUGUCGGCUCAUCACAUCCUGGGGCUGAAGUAGGUCCCAAGGGUAUGGCUGUUCGCCAUUUAAAGUGGUACGCGAGCUGGGUUUAGAACGUCGUGAGACAGUUCGGUCCCUAUCUGCCGUGGGCGCUGGAGAACUGAGGGGGGCUGCUCCUAGUACGAGAGGACCGGAGUGGACGCAUCACUGGUGUUCGGGUUGUCAUGCCAAUGGCACUGCCCGGUAGCUAAAUGCGGAAGAGAUAAGUGCUGAAAGCAUCUAAGCACGAAACUUGCCCCGAGAUGAGUUCUCCCUGACUCCUUGA
rnacentral:rRNA from 1 species